rnacentral:rRNA from 1 species
GACGAACGCUGGCGGCGUGCUUAACACAUGCAAGUCGAACGGAAAGGCCCAGCUUGCUGGGUGCUCGAGUGGCGAACGGGUGAGUAACACGUGGGUGAUCUGCCUCUAACUUCGGGAUAAGCUUGGGAAACUGGGUCUAAUACCGGAUAGGACAAUCGUUUAGUGUCGGUUGUGGAAAGUUUUUUCGGUUAGGGAUGAGCCCGCGGCCUAUCAGCUUGUUGGUGGGGUAAUGGCCUACCAAGGCGUCGACGGGUAGCCGGCCUGAGAGGGUGGACGGCCACAUUGGGACUGAGAUACGGCCCAGACUCCUACGGGAGGCAGCAGUGGGGAAUAUUGCACAAUGGGCGGAAGCCUGAUGCAGCGACGCCGCGUGGGGGAUGACGGCCUUCGGGUUGUAAACCUCUUUCGACAGGGACGAAGCUUUGGUGACGGUACCUGUAUAAGAAGCACCGGCUAACUACGUG